CGAUGUUCAAUAUAAUCGAUCGUUUUGAUAAUCGAGAUUUUAUCGUCGAUAUUACUAUUAUCAAAAAAUUCCGAUUCAUAAUCGAAUUUUUCUUUAAUCGAUGUUCCAAUAAUCGAUCGUUCUGAUAAUUGAGAUUUUAUCGCCAAUAUUAUUACGUAUUAAAAAAUUCGAUUGAUUCGUGAAAAUAUGGACACGAAAUUUGCGAAACUUCAUAGAUAUACAUACGCAAGUAAUUGUAAGAAGAACGGUUCGUGUAUUACUCGGUAGGGUGUGUAUACGGCGUACACAGAACGAUGUUAGACGUUUGAUUAAUAGCGUCAGCGCUGAUUGGUCACGCUACUAAUAAAGGAGCGUUCACACGUAUUAAAAGUUCGCGCCUCUGCGUCCACGCCGGUGUGCUCAGCGUCUUCGGUCAUUGUAGUCUAGUGUUGGCACGAUAUAACGAGGGAAUGGCGUGUCUUGCUUAUAAUUGAACCGAGCACCUACAAUCCAAUCGUUCUUAAUCAUUCGAAUUCAUCUCGCUUGCAAGUUCCAUUCUCCUUUAUUAUUCGUUGUCUUACCAACCUGUGAAACUUAUCCGAAAUUCAUAUUCUUUUUUUGCCAAUAACAGUAACAUGGACAAUAUGGACAGUUUUGAUUAUUUUUAAUUAUUCAGAUAGAUUAUUCCAACAUGAUUGUUCGAGGGUCGAAAGACGGUUGCUUUGAAAGGAUAUUCAUUAUGUUCCUGAAAGUGCGGAGUCUUCGUAACAGCUUUUAAAAGGUGACAAAAUCCCCUUAGAGCACGGUUCGCAAGGGUAGGCUAAAUUACAAUUAAUUAAUUGACUUCGACUCCCUGUAAUUCAUGCGUUGAUGAUUAUGUUUUUCAUUUGGUCAAUUAAAGGAAUUUGAGGCGAGGUGAAUAAUUGGGAAAAUAAUUUGAAGAAUUGAUUAUUUGAGGAACAUUCAGAAUAAGUAUUGAACAAUGAAUAAGGUAUAUUCUAAAAUUUACAAAUUAUUUAUUCAUCAAAAAAUAAAAAGCUUGUUCAAAAAAGAAACAAUGAUAAUAGAAAUGAAAAUACUAUGGAUGAAAGCAACAGUUUUACCUCGUAUCCUACAUCAAUAAAGUAGGUUGAAAUGUCAGUGGUUGAAAAGGCUAUUAAUUACAGACACCCUCCUCUAUUGUAACGACGCCGAUAACUUUUCUAUUAUCCUUUUAAAAGAAGAUUUAAGGCCAAAUAGUCUUAACAACAGCACGCUUGCAGGUCGUAUAAUCCUUACUAUCAUUAUCGAAAUUUUUUUUUUUUUCUUUUUUAACACGACUUUUUUAACAUCUGCUCCGAAACGAAUAAAAAUCUCGUUAUCCGGAAAAGACUAUCCUCAGCUGUUAGGCUACACCUAACACAGAUGUUUCUAUUUGCAACACUUAUGAAAGUAUAAGCCAGAAAUUUGACAGAGUAUGAUUUCAUUUUUGGGAGUCAUAAAAUUUCAAAGGCAAGGACCACCACGUACACACAUGCUACAACCCUUUGUUGUUAAUGGAAGCCUUGAUGAUCGCGGACAAUCGCCGAAGGUGUCUGUCUGCCUGACAAGCCGACACUCUCUACAUUGUAAUUAAUCAAUAUUACAUCGACAAUACUUAUAUUAUGGAUAAUUUUAAAAAAUGUUACAUAUGGAUAACAUCAGACAGAAGUUUUGCAUAUUUUGAAUGUGAGUGAAAAUUAAUCGUGAGAGUUAAAAAAAAAAAAAGAAAAAGAAGAGAGUUAGAGCGAAAAUUUGGCGAGAAGCGGGAAAGGGUAAUUACUAAUGAUCGCGGAGGAUCGUUAUUAACCUUUCUGGUGGCGAGAGGCAUCAGGACGUAGCAGGACCAUUGUCCAUUCCGCUAGGUUCAUUACGGUGUUCCAGUAGGGAAUGAGGCGAUGGUCGGGUGGAUGAUGUAAAAAAGGGUAAAAGAGAAAUAAGAAAAGUGUCGGGGGUCAGAGGAGACCGAACGGCUACCGUGAAUGGCGCAGCCUGACCCAAGAGCUGCCGGGCAUCAAAAGGGCCUCAAAAGGACCGCUUCGAACCUCGGCCUGUCCGAAGCUCAUUUGUUUUCACCGGCGCAUGGAAAGAUCGAUCGACCGAUGUCUUAACCCUACACUCUCCACGGAAUCAUCCGCUUUCGAUAAGAAAAAUUCUGAGGCAUUAAUUAGAUCGGCCUGUAAUAGAGUCAUGAUGGAAAACUGAUUGCCUGCGUCGAAGUUACGGCAAUUUACUUAGCCUAUCAACUAUCUUCUCUGCAUUUCCCUCCAUUUUCUCCUCGGUAAUGUUUAACAUAGUUUUCUUGACUCAUUUUUCUCAAAGAUUCAUUGUAUCAUUUUUUUGUUUAUCUUGUUGAGCUAGAUUAACUAUCUCUUGGAUAACAUUUUCAAUAUGACAUCUAUAGUCAUGUAUGACAUCUAUAGUCUUUGAUAUUUGUUAUAAAAUGAUGAAAAACGAUGAAAUUGUUACGCAUACUGGUGACAGGAUCUUUACACGUAGAAUAGAAAAUUUCCAUGAGGUUUCUUGAGAUCUUCUUUCUUCCUUUUGAUAUCGAUUCGAUGGAUGAUCGUUAAUUUGAAUGGACGAAAUGAUCGAUAAUAUUAGACUAGAUAAUUCUAUGAGCAAAACAAAAAGAAUAUAAAUUUAUAUUCUCCAUCGAAUCAUUGUAUCUUACGUUCUCACGGCAAAAACACGGUAGAUUAUCUUACGUGAUUGGAGUGGAUGAAAAUUCCACGUAGACGGACGUGCGGGGUGGAAGUGUUGGGAAGUUUUAGAAAAAUCGGAUGAGGAAGAGGUUACACGAGGGGAUACUAGGAUUGCAUUUACAAGGGGGAUUUGUACGGUAGUCGAGAAACGAAGUGAAAUUAUCGAUGCGAUUGCCACUGGAACAGACUCUCUCGGUUGAAGGGCCGACAAAGGGUCGAUCAGUGAUUCUCUCCAUCUCCUUUCAUCUCGUUCCUUUUUCGAAAGAUAACCCCACGGUGGCCACCUUUUUGUUUGCACAGUGAGAUUGCUUGCCUCUUGCUCGGAAAUUGACCGAAGAUUACGGCCGACCGACGUUUGCUCUGCGGCCACGGCCUUAACUUUGCGCUACCACAAAAAUAUCAUUGGCUUCCUCCUUUUCCCUUCCAACUUCUUUGUCUUCUUCCUUCUAUUAUUUUUUUCCUUCGGGUAUUGAUUCCUUUCGCGUUUUAUACAUACAUGAAAAACCAAUCGAUCUUUUAUCUUUUUUUCUCGCUCAAAAACUUGAAAUUUUAAAAUUCAAAUUACAAAUUAAUUUCCUCUAAGUAAAUGGUAACGUAUAACAACUUAUGAAAAAAUUAUUCUUAUGAUCUAUUGAUACCUUGCUUAUAAUGAAAAUUACAAUAUACAAAUCUAAUAAUAUUUUAUAUAUCCUACAUAUUAGUUGAAUAGAUAUUAGUAUAUUAGUUGCAUAAAAAAUUGCAAUCCAGUCAUUAUUCUUGAAAUUUUUUCCCAAAAUAUCGUAUCGAAAUCGAUAAAAUCGUUCUUUUUAUUCUUGAUUUACAAACAAAGUAAAGUAUCAUCUAUCGUUCGUCCGAGAAAUUAUACGACAAACAUUUUAACUGCGACGUAACCACAAAACUUCUCUUUCCCCGGUCGUACACUUCCCUUUCCUCCUUAUCCCGAAGAGAGAUGAUGUCUAAGCUUAUUAUCGAGACCCUCGAGACCUCUCUUUCUCUCCAUCUUGCAGGAUUUGAUCGAAGUUGAUGGAGCGAGCACGGAGCUAACCGCCCAGAGUAUUAUGUGUCGAAAAAUAUUCAAGAAAACCUCUUCGGCCAGUCCUUCGGAGGAGCAAUGACUUUUGUCCGCCACGAUACUGUCAGAAGUGAUUACCCGUAAUGGAUCAAGCUCUUUAAUGCUCUACCCACGUGCGCUAGAAGAAUUAUCCGUUCGAGAGGCAGCUAGAGCUUGUUUAAAGGGCGUUGUACGCCCGUUAUACGACGCGGUAACAAGCGCGAUUUCAGCUCACGGUGUACAAUUAAAAGUAACACGGCUCGAUGCGCGUUAACGCGAGCGAGUCGAAUCGUUUGAUCCUCCGUAGAAAAAUUGCGCGCUCUAUUCCGAGAGAAAGAGAAAGAUUUAUGACAUACGGUUCUAAAGAUCGUAAAUCAUUUGGUAUAUCGUAAACAGCCAAUAAGCCGAGAUCAAAGAGACAUUAAACUCUGGUCGAAGUUGGAGAAGUGGGGUUAGAACCGGUUAAUCGUUGAUAGAGGAGUGAUUAUUAAAUAGGGGGAAAAAAAAAAAACAAGAAAAGAAAAAGAAAAGAACAGAUUAUUCUUCUCCUAGAGAAGGCUAAUUAUGAGAGGCAUUAAUUAAGCACUAACGACGAAGGAUUAUUAACGAACAAAUCGGUUCUCCUUACAUGGGGACAAGGUUUUGAUCGACGAGCCACGAGUUUAGCCGAGGGCAACUACAACGACCAAUCGAUCUAUCGAUUGAGAUCGAUCGAAUUACCGGUAUGCACGAUUCCUUGUAUCGAUAUAUAUAUAUAUGUAUAUGUAGAUGUAAGGAUCGAUUGCAGAAUGAAAGAUUGUGAACUAAUACGGGUGACAGAAGGGAGUGUACAGACGCACGGGAAAGACGCGAUUGAAUUACCAUAAAACGCCAUGAUUAACGUAAAGUAAACGAAUAUAAUGCCGCAAUGACCGCAACCUGUUCUAUAGCAGUUAGAGUAUGUCCCCGCAAUGGUUUCCUGUAUCUCUACGUCCGACGCGAUGUCUCUCACUUUUCUUUUAUCGCAUCGUUCUCUGUGAAAUUAAAUAAUUUCGUGUACGAAUAGAUUUAAAUUUAAUUGGUAGUGGAAUUUUGAGAUUAUCAUCUGUGAUGAGAAGUACGAUAAGACUUUAAAAACUUCGCACGGUCAUUCAAUUAUCGGGUUCGUAUGUAAUAGGUUAGGUAAUACGAACAUUGUGAAUGCAGAAAUAAAUCAAUUUACAUAAUA
rnacentral:lncRNA from 1 species